AUGAUGAAACAGCCAGGACCCUGAUGGGAUGAUGAGUGGUGGGCUUAGCUGA
rnacentral:snoRNA from 1 species